UAAAAAGCACCUGUGGCAACAUGGCUGCCUCUCUGUCUGGUUUGCCUGCCAGUUGCCACAUGCUCCUUGCACUGAGCCCCCUGUCUGCCUCGCUAGCUUGGGUGAAGUGGUGUCUGGUCUGAUUGAGUGUCUGUUCCAUUGGUCCUUUUUGCUUGAGGCGUCCUUGGUAGCUGUUCCCAUGGGUCAUUGUUACAGUGAAGCAAGUUCCUGGCCUUAUCGGCUGCUGUUUUGCCUUUUUGCUUUGCCUUGAUUGAUUUGCCUUUUUAUUGAUUUGUUUUGGCCUUGGAUGAAUGUAUGUGCUUUCAGUUUUUAACUGAACCAACUGGUUUAUUUGUUUUCUUUGUCUAAUACUUUUGUCAUUUCCCCUGUAGCGUGGUGGUUGCUAGCUGCUUAUUGAGGCUAGGCACUCUAGGUGGUUCCCUGCACUGUUCGUUGUUGUUAGCGCAUUGGGACACAAUAGUUUGCCUUGAGUUCACGAGUGGUGGGUAAGUUGCACUCCUGGAAGACACCCCUAGAUUUUAAGCUGCCUCCCCUCUGCUGGCACCCCUUGCUUCCCCCUCUGAUUUAGCUAAUUUUUAAAUCACAUUGAUUUGAAAGUGAAUUUUUAAGGGAAAAUAAAAAAAUUGUAUUGUAAUAAACUUUUAAUACAGCUCCCCCAA